rnacentral:lncRNA from 1 species
AGAAUGGUGGGUAAUUUACCCACCAACCAAUGAAAAUGAACAAUUUGUUGGUGGGGUCAAGAUAGUUCAUAGAUACCAUUUAAAAAUGUGCUUAUGUGGCUAAUGUGUAUUGGUUGGGGUAAAUUACCCACCAUUUUUCCAUGGGUACCCUAAUUGUCACCUAAUAUUGGUGAUGUUUUUCAGGCAGAGUUAACAGGAGCUACGAAGGCUUUUGAAAUUACUUGUGAUUUAGCAUUGACCAAAUAGAAGAAAUGGGGUGUCUAGGUAUGCUCCAUUUAAUCCAUUUAAGGCCUUGGAUGAAUGACUGUGGCCAAAAAAAAUCAAUUGUUUAAAUUUUAAAAUAAACAAAACAUUUAUUUUUUUAAUAAAACAAAAACUAAAAAUCAUAAAUCACCAUCUUCCUCUGUUCUUCUCUCGUUUCCUACGUUCAUAUCACUUAUGCUAAUUCAGAAAUUGAGAUUAAAAUACUCUCAAUAAAAAGUGAUAUGAAUUAAAAUUGAAUUUGGGAUUAGUUACACGAAUAACUGUGAUUUCAAUUGUGAUUUUAGGUUUUGGAUAUGGCUGAUUCAUGACAAGAAAAGAAAUUGAAAUUAGGAUAAGAAAUUGAAAUUAGGAUAUUAAUACUUGGCACAUAACAUUAGCAACCACCAUGAAUUGGAAUAGAUAAGGAUAUUAUGGUGAUGAGAGUAACAGGAGCGGCCAUGGGUAGAGAGAGAAGUCGGAACAGAGGAGAAAGAGGGAACCUGAGGAAGAUGUUGAUUUUUUUUUUUUUUAUUACAUUAAAAUAUUUGUUUUUAAUUUUAAAUCUCAGCGUUAAAUGUUUUUUUGCUACAUGUCUCACAUCCAUGACGUAAAUGGACUAAAUGGAGUAUACCUGAACUAAGAAAUGGAGGAAGUGUUUCCAACCCUCUCUUCGGAAUCAACAAUGAUGUCAUGGAAACUAAUAGAAUAAUUUAUUUAUUAUACUUGAAUGGAAGAACAUCAUCUUAGUUCAACCAAACUAUUUUACUUAACAUCUAUUUUACAUGUACAACUAACUAAGCUUGCAACACAAGUAUUUUCAACCCAAUUUCACUCCAUACAUCAUAAGCAUAACUUUGAUACUCGCUACGAGUUAUUUUCAUAUGAAUACAAAGAGGAUAUAUUCAUGUGGUAGUUUCUUUCUAACUCUGUUGUAUGUCUGGCCAAUGAUAGAACUGAUGGGUUCACCUAAUGCAAUGUUGCUUGCAGACUGUUAUUGCCAGAACUAGGUUGGAGAUGAUGUAACAUCUGGGUAAUUUGCCUCAUAUUUAUUAGGGAAAUCUACUUUGUUUAGUCAGUUUUGAGGACGAAAUUAUUUUAGGUGGGUAGAAUGUAAGAUCCAGUAUUUUAUCAUAUUUUUAUUUUAAAUUAUUUUAUCUUAAUUUUGACUUUAAAAUAAUUUACCUUUGUGAUUUAUUGAGUGAUAAUAUUAUUCUGUAUUUUUCUUUCAAAUUAUAUAGCCAAAAUCCAUUGUACUAUUUAUUAGAUAGUGUACCCUAUAAUUAUUUAUGCCUAUUAUUGUGAUAAAGAAAAAUGACUUGAGUGAAUUAGCACAUGUACUGGUAGUUAGAGUAUCAUAGCAUGACUAGGCUGGGCUUUCAUUCUUUUUGUUUCUUUUUUCAAUGCGUGUACUUGUAGCAAGCCUCUCAUUAUAUCAUGUUACUAUUAAACUGAUUACAUUUAUUAAUUGGUCCAUAAUUGUAGAAAAGAAAAUGGGGACGUGUAUUUACAGAGGAAACAAUGUAACCUCCUUUCCUAGUUACAUGGCCAAUUUCACUUCACACUCCUUAAGCAUAGUGCCACUCUUUUUAGGAAGGGAGUUAGUGGGAGGGUUAUUUCACGAUUAAUAAAAAUCGGUUACCUUCUUUAUUCCAUUCAUUCACCACUUUACUGAUUCUACACUCUGAAGAAAAUAGAGAGAAGUUUAGAGAGAGGGAGAGAGGGAUAGAAACAUAGAGAGUCUUGCAGGAGAAAGAAAUGAGAACAAAGAUCAACUCUAAAACUAGCAUUUAGAUCUAUCACAAGUAAGAAUAUUUAUUUUACUCUUGCAAAUGUUUUCUCCUUCUGAAUUCUCUUCUAGAAAUCAGUUUUAGUGUAUGAAAAUUUGCAAUAGGAAUUUAUUAGGACUGCUAUAUUUUAUGAUGAGAAUUAAGCUUAUGAGCAAGGUUUUACAACUCGAGAGUUUAUCUCAACUCGUUUUAGCUAUGUAAACUCGAAUCGUAAAUUCGACUUGUAAACUCGUACGAGUUUACCUAAAAUUAAAAUUAUAUAAAAUUUAUUAUAUAUAUAGCAUAUGUAAGCUAAUAUUUAAACAAAACAUAACCAAUUAACCACAUUUAAAUAAUAAACUCUAACAAUAAAAAAUAAAAUUUAUCAGUACAUUUAAACUCUUUUUCAUCUUCAGUUGUAACUUUAACUUCAAUUGUUCCAUUUUCUCAUUUAAAUACUUGAACAAGUAAUAUAUUUGAAUGAUUUCAAAACAAUAAAUAAUAACAAGCUUCUGAAUGCAUUCCCUAAAAUUCAAUGUAUGUCAUUCUCACGCAUUGGCGUAGCUUCUGUACAUAACAAGCAUGAAAAAACCGAGUUAUGUUAACCGUAAAGGCAACAUUUCAGCAUCUUGGGAUUAAAAAAAAUGAGACAAAAAAAAUAACCAAAAAAAAAUUAAAAAAAAAUUAAAAGGUAAACUCGGACGAGUUUACUCCGAGUUUACACGAGUUUACCGAGUUUAACACGUGUUCACUCGGUCAAACUCGUCAAACUUUCCGAUUUCACCAAAAACCGAGUUUACCUCCGAGUUAACACGUUUUUGCCACCUAAAAACGUCUCGAUUUGUGGAACAGUGCUUAUGAGUUUAUUGAAACGGUGAGUAAUAGUUUUGAGAGAAAUAAUUUAUGAUUUAUUUCCUCAUAAUAGAAUUAGAUUAGAUGGAAAGUUAUGUUUUUGUUGUCAAAAUUUUGAGUUGAACACCGAUUUGGAAUCAAACAUUUCUUUUCUAAUUAAUUUUAAAUAGUGUAGUUUGAUUAAUCACUAAAUGACUUUAUGAAAGGAUAGUGAUCGGUGACUUCCUAAAUUUAGUUGUAGUUAGAUGUGAAUCAUACCAGAACCAAACUAAAGCCUUGAGUAGAAAGUAGGGGUAAGAGCAAUUGGAAUCUAGUCUAAGUUAGUAAAUAUUUAAACGUGAAGGUGUAGGACGGAGUAAAGACCGUUGACGGAAAUCUUAAGAGCUGCUAUUGCUAGGGUGUGUCUUUGGGUAGUUAAAGACCAAGGGCCUUACUCUUAAGAAUUAUAUAUUUUGAUGUAAAACAAUACUGAUUUGUUAUUUUAAAAAGUUCAAAGAAAAACUUAUUUAUUUAUUACUUAUUUUUACUUUGAAGUGAAGGAGUUUUAAGUUAUUAGUAUGAUAAAAAAAAAAGAUUAAAAAAAAUAUGCACCAUUUUUCGUUAAGAAUUGUAUAAGUUAAUGUCUCAAAUUUUUGGGUCAUUACCGAUAGUUUCUUACAUUAUCCCAGAGUCAAGCUCACUGAGAUACUACCUAUAUUUGAAAGAAAGGUAGAAUAAUUGGUGCUAAAAACAAUCGACAAUCCUUUAGAAGACACAGUUUUACUCUCACCACAGUUUUAAACUUCUAAAUGAAUGGUUUCUAACUUAGAUGGUAUCUCAUCACUUCAACUCAACUCAACUCAUAAAAACAAUUCUACAAUUGGAGCGAUAAACCAAGUGUCAUUCAAAAAAUGAGUUCACUUGUCGUUCAAGCUGCAAUAAGGUUGGUCUUCAAUUGUAGUAUAAUCUUUGCAUAUGCAACCCUAACGAUUUGGAUGAUUUAAAAUUUUUGUGUAAAUUAAUGGAAGUUGUUCUCCUUAUAUUUUUUGUCAGCCUUGUAUAAUAUUUUUUUUUUUCUGAUUGAAGUUUUAGUUUAUUAAGCAGUAACAGAAGAAAUUUUUUCCAAAAUGUACAAUUGAAUUGAUACAUAAGCGUAUAUUUUUUUUCCUUAUAUGGAUAUUAACAUCUAUUCUCUAUCACACCGAUCAAAAUCAGAAGCGUUUUUAGAUGUUGGGUCAUGGCAGAUCACGAGUAAGUGAUGGAGAUUGUUUUUGGUAAAACCACAACCAAACACUAUUUUGAAUGACUCGAUUGAAGUAUUAAGUUUGACAAAUUAGCUCCAGCAGUUACUCCGUAUCGUAGUUUUAUUCAAGUUGUUCUUCUUAUAUUUUUUGUCAACCUUGUAUAAUAAUAUCAUAUUUUUUCUUUUUCUUUUUUUCUUGAUUGAAGUUUUAAUUUAUUAAGCAGUACUUUGCCAUUUUUCGUGCAAUUCAGUUAUUUUCAAAUGGGACAAAGAAAAUUUUUCCAAAAUGUAAUUUUAUAUAUUUAAACAAUUCAAUACAAAAGCGUAUAUUUUUUCCUUAUAUGGAUAUUAAUAUCUAUUCUCUAUCACACCGAUCUAAAUCAGAAGUGAGAGUUUUUAGAUGCUGGGUCAUGGCAGAUCACGACUAAGUGAUGGAGAUUGUUUUUGGUAAAACCACAACCAAACACUAUUUUGAAUGACUCGAUUGAAGUAUUAGGUUUGGCAAAUUAGCUCUAGCAGUUACAUCGUAUCGUAGUUUUAUUCACGAGAGCAAAUAUUGUUUUGGCAUUACAUGUAUGUAUGAGUACGAACGAUUGAUGAUUGUCACAACGAAGAGUCUCGUGAGAGAAGGAACGACCGGAUAGAGGACGAACGAUCACAUAGAAAUUAAAUCACGGUUUGUUUUUCGUGUUUGAAUAUGAAUUUUUUUCUAUUUUGUUUUUGUUAUAUGGAACAAUAGCGGAUUUAUAAGUUGAUUUAAUUAAUUAACUUUAAGUUAAAUACAAAUAAUAAUUUAUCUAUACUAUAUAUCAUAAAGUACAUAAAUUUAGCUCUCGCUUUUUUUUUCUUCUAUUAUUAUAUUGUUAAUGUAAUAUUUUAAAAAGAUGAGCAUGUUGUUACAACUUGAAAUCACAAUCAUCUAUACGUAUAAUUUUAAAAGUGAAAACCCAAAUCAAUCUCUAACAACUUUCUUACAAGCCAAUUUAGUCCUUUAAUAAAAAUAAACCUAAAUUAGUCCAUGACAUUUCAUACUACAGAAAAAAUAGUCCCUCUAAUGCAAUUAGUUAAGGACUAAUUUUUCCCCAACAUCAAAAUGUCAGAGAUUAAUUUGGGUAAUAUUUUUUGUCAGGAAUUGAAUAUGGUCGGAAAAAAAAAUUGCGAGGGUUGAUUUUGGUCUUCUUUCUAAUUUUAAUCAAAAUCUAUUUAAUUUCAUAAAAAAAAUAUUUUUCAUAUUUUUUCGUCAUUAGUGCAAUAAAAAAAAGCAAACAAACGAGUACGGCGUGUCCAUCUAAACAAUAAUAACAAUAAUAAUAAUAAUAAUAAUAAUAAUAAUAAUAUUUUUACAUGUUAUAACAAUAAUAAUAACAAUCUUUUUUUGAGGGAAUUAAUUCUUUCCCUAAAAAAAAAAUAACAAUCUUUUUUUUGAGGGAAUAAUAGCAAUCUUAUUAGUUUUAUAUUUAAAAUUAAUCUAAUCUAAAGCCAACUUAUGUCCCACUAGCUUUCUCUAUCUAUUACGCUCACCAAGCAAAACACCAUUAUUUAUCCACAAUCAUGUAAAACUACUCCCUCCGCACAAUAAUGGGCGACACGUAUGUAAAAUAAAAAUUAUCCUAAAAUGGAUGUCUCCCCUUCCGUAAUUGAUUAUAAGUCGUUUUGAUAUUUUCACACAUAUUAAAAAAAUAUUGUUAAUUAUGUAUUAGAUUAUUAGUGUUUUUACAAAAUUAUCCCUUAACAAUGACUUGAGAAAAAUAGAUUAAGAGAAUAAAAAGAAGAAAGAGAAAUAAGUGAUAAAGGAUAUGAUAGUGAAAUAAAUUAUUAAUGGGACAUUGGUAUUGUAAAGUGACUUAUAAUAAAACACAAUUUUUUUUCAAAAAAUAAAAUAAAAGAUAAUUUUUGUUUUCAAAGUGACUUAUAAUAAAAUACGGAGCCUUCCUUAAAAAAAAGUAAAAUACGGAGCCUCAGAUUAAUAUUACUUGUAUAACUUUCAAUUCAAUGUUUUCUACUUUGCAUUUAUUAAAUACUUUUGAUAAGAGUACUUUAGUAAAAACAUUUUGCACUCUAUUUCAUUUAUAUAUUCUUCUUAAUAUGUGUUAAAUGGUCAAUCAUUGUAGGAAAGGGAGAAUAAUUUGUAAUCUCUGUGCUUAAAGUAGUAAUUGCAAGAAGUAUAAUUUUAUGUGAUAAUUUAUGGAAAAAAAUCAGUUAUAAUUCCUUAAAAAAAAUAAAUAAGUUAUAAUAUAUACAUAAUACAUGAAUAUAAUAACAGUUAAAAUUUAUAAUAUUUUUUUAUUUCUAGCUAAUAUAUAUAAUAUUUAUCAUCACGUCACAUGUAUGACUCCAAAAUACAUAUUUAAUACAUGAAAAAUAGGAAGAGUGGAUUCAAAACUUAUGCAUGUAGUUGGUUGAUGAAGUUCUUGAUGACUAAUGUGUGUGUGUUUGGUUAGUGAUGUUUUUUGUGAUUUAUAUGAAUGAUUUUGAGAGUCAUAUUUAAUUUUUAUUUUUCAACUGAAGUUUAAUGAUAUAUUAUAUUUGUUUUCAUCAUUUCUUUAAUUAAAUUUUUCAACACUUACGUUUCCCAAAAAAAGUUGUAACACUUAGUGGUAUGUUUGGUUCAACAGGGGAAGAGGAAAGAUUUUUAAUCGAGGGGAGGGGAUGGGUGAUGAGAUAUUUUAAUUAAAUAUAGGAAAAAUUACAUUGACCUCUCUUAAGUCUCUUUAAAUGACAGUAACAUCCCCUCUAAUUAUUACAAUAGACACUAACCUCUAUUAAGUUUUCAUCAAAUGCAUGAAAAACGCCCCUUUCUCUUAACACUGUUUGCUUCUUCCAGUAAAGAAUGAAUUGUUCGACACUUUUAAUUGUUCACCAUGUAUGAUUUGUGCUAAACCCACCUGUAAUGUGUAACCGCCUUGUUGUUUUAUUUUGGCAUAACAUUGUUUGCGGCGAAAGCAAAUGCACAUUUUAAAAGUUUUUUUUUUUUUUUGUGUAAAAAAACUGUUAUUUUUGCAAUUCAUGGCCAAAACCAUCUGUAAUAUUUAGCACCUCUAAAAAAAAUAGAAAGAUUGAAGUCCACAUUAAGUAAUAUUUCUUUUCCGUUUAAGUCAAAUUUUAUCCCAUCGAGAACGAUAAAUUUGUAGCGAACAAACUAAGCUUCAAGGAUUUUUCAAGCAAUUACGUUGGUUCAUCCAUUUAGUGACCCAUCUUUUUGGUUUAUAGGUAGACACUCAACCCUUAUUAACUUUAAGUUCUAUGAAAGUUUCCUCAUUUGGUUUGACAAUAUUGCUCAACAAAAUGAUGAAAUAGUGUGCAGAAUCAGACACGAUGUGCAUGUCAUCGCCUCGUGAUCUAGAAAGUAUUAGGGCAAUGAGAAAACACUACCAACCACCUCACAAUCCCAACAAUUACCCCCUCGAUUUGCACUGUAGCCAAUUUUCAAAAUUUCAUCAAAUCCAAAUCAUCAAUUUUUAGUCACAAUUUCAACAAUUAUUAACAUAUUUUGAUUGUUCGUUGUUGUGUUGCCAAUUUAAUUGAGAUGACAAUCACUUUCUUUGUUUCAGAACACAAAUUUAUAUAUUAAAAAAUAAUAAUCUAAAUUCAUCAAACAUUUUAAUUUCAAUCGAUUAGAUUUUCACCCAUAAACUAGGUUUUCAAUUAUAACUAAAGUGAAAAGGGAAAUAUGGUUUCUAGGACUUCUUUUACUUUUGUUGAAUGUGGGGACACUAAAGUAAACAAACAUAAAAUUUAGAAACACUAUGAUAUUGCCUUGAGCUCAAAGCAACCAUAUCUUUUUAAUGAAUGAAAACGGUUGAAAUUCAACUCAUUGAUCUAGGGAUAGGAAAAAAACUGUCAAUAGGUCGGUAGUUUCAUAUUACUGUGUAUAUGCAUAUGUGACAUACAUAUCACUAUCAAUAUUUUUGCAAUUAGUUAAGGACUAAUUUUUCCCCAACAUCAAAAUGUCAGAGAUUAAUUUGGGUAAUUAUUUUUUGUCAGGAAUUGAAUAUGGUACGGAAAAAAAAAUUGCGAGGGUUGAUUUUGGUCUUCUUUCUAAUUUUAAUCAAAAUCUAUUUAAUUUCAAUAAAAAAAAUAUUUUUCAUUAUUUUUUCGUCAUUAGUGCNNNNNNNNNNNNNNNNNNNNNNNNNNNNNNNNNNNNNNNNNNNNNNNNNNNNNNNNNNNNNNNNNNNNNNNNNNNNNNNNNNNNNNNNNNNNNNNNNNNNUAUAUAGGGUUAAUGCACUUUGUAUUUUGCAUCUUCUCCAUUCAAUAAGAUUUACACAGUUUUACGUUCAUAUUGUCACAUUUUUCUUCUAAAUAUUCCAUCUCGCACAAUAGUGUUUUAGCUUUUCAAUCCAACAAAAACUACUACUUGAUUCUAUGAAAGCAAAGUUCUUGAGAGUUGAGACUGGAUAAUUUGUCAUAUUGAUUAUUAAGAAAGAUAUUGGUAUUCCUACUUAAUGCAAGUCAAAUUUCACAGUUAAAAGAUCAAUAAACAUCAGAUUAUCAAUCACAAAUUACUUAAAGUAGCAGUUUAUUCAAAUUUUGCUACGUCAUAGCCGCUAUUUGACAACACUUGCACAAAAUUGUGUAGAUGGAAAAAUAGCGAUUUGUUAAAACUCCGCUAUAUAUGUUGCAGCAUUGUAGCGGCACUACAGCCGCUAUUUAACAACACUACAACCAGCACAACGUGCAGAACAUGUUCAUAUAAAGAAAAUGGGAUUUUAUGAUCACAAAUGUUUCACUAGCACCCGAAAACUAACAUACCUUUUGAACCCGAGCAAUCAGCCUUGUCAUUCUACUCUUCAUUUUACGAACUUUGUCCAAAUUACGACUACUAAUCUGCAAAAUGUAACUCAAAAGUUCAUAACAAUUGAACAAAAUAAAGGAUUCUAAGAGGGGUAAGAGGGGUAAGAGGGCAAAGGAUCAAGGAUUCUAAGAUCACGUGCAUCAAUAUGAACCCUAUUCAUGAUAACAUACUUGUCCACAUCAUGAAUCCACCCUUGGCCUGUAGCAUCAAACUGAAUCCAACUUGUAGAAGACUGUGUCUUCUUCUAUUCACAGCAGCUACCAUAUCUUGUGGGUCCAUAUCCCUCCAAUUCAACUCAAUAAAAGAACCCUUAAACCCUUGCGUAUGGUUAAGGUACGUGACUC